CAGUCACGCUUACUUCCUGGUGGGACAAAUCCCUAGCCCGUCCUCUUGAAGUGCCCUGUUUGCCAGCUCUGCCCCUCGCUCGCCUCCCUGGGUAGCAGGAACACAGAAGGUCCGCUAACCAUAAGGUUCUUCUUGACUGCACUGCUCUUUGAUGUCAGGAGCGAGUUGCUCAGGUGCGAGGCCCAUACCAGCCAGACAAUGAAGCAGGUGGAGGUGUGUGCAGACCGCAAACACUCAAAAGCUCUGUGCCUUCUGGACUGUGUGAUCUGAAUCCUGUGGAAAUUAGAAACCAGCAAGCAAGACAUGUUACUUCUUCCUAACCGAAGCAUUCCCUUCUUGAGAGUGUGCUUAAGACCAAAGGAAACAUGGAACAUAAGACAUGGAAGGCCUCUCCUGAGAUUAUAUGAACAGUAACGAUGGUUAGAGAGGAGACUCUUCAGUGGAACUGCUUGCAGGCUGUGCAGGGAUCUCCGGGGAUGCUGCUCUAACAGCAUCUGAUGCUGGGCUGGACUUUUCAGUGCUGCAGCUGACUGUAAGCCAUCCAUACUCCUGAGUCUUUUUGGAGAGUGGCAGAUACCCCUGCACCACCACCACCCUCCCCUGCAUGACCUUUUCACUGCUUAUGGGAUUCUUCUGCACUUUAUUGAGCUGUGAGAACGUGGAAGGAAAUGUGGACUCACAGCCGCUGCUGAACGUUCCCAUUUAGUCACAACUGCCUUCUCGCCCUAUACUGCAGCUGGACCCUAGUAUUCCUGUCUCCUCAAUAGCAGAAUGUCAGUGUGAUGUGCACUCUUUCAUCAAAUGCUUGCAGCCUCCAGCCCACCCUCGCCCUCUGCAGGUGACUGUGGCCAGGAGCUCAGCUCUGGUCAGCAGGCUGCA